AGCGGGAUGGAGCAAGGUGCCUUUUGUCUGAAAAAGUACCCUACAAGUCUGGAGUGCUCGCUGGGCCCAUAACCCAGAGGUCGGUGGUUCAAAUCCACCUCCCGCUA
rnacentral:tRNA from 1 species